rnacentral:rRNA from 1 species
AUUGAACGCUGGCGGCAUGCUUUACACAUGCGAGUCGAACGGCAGCGCGGGCUUCGGCCUGGCGGCGAGUGGCGAACGGGUGAGUAAUGCAUCGGAACGUGCCCAGUAGUGGGGGAUAGCCCGGCGAAAGCCGGAUUAAUACCGCAUACGACCUGAGGGUGAAAGCGGGGGACCGAAAGGCCUCGCGCUAUUGGAGCGGCCGAUGUCGGAUUAGCUAGUUGGUGGGGUAAAGGCUUGCCAAGGCGACGAUCCGUAGCUGGUCUGAGAGGACGACCAGCCACACUGGGACUGAGACACGGCCCAGACUCCUACGGGAGGCAGCAGUGGGGAAUUUUGGACAAUGGGGGCAACCCUGAUCCAGCCAUGCCGCGUGCGGGAAGAAGGCCUUCGGGUUGUAAACCGCUUUUGUUCGGGAAGAAAUCCUCUGGGCUAAUACCCCGGGGGGAUGACGGUACCGGAAGAAUAAGCACCGGCUAACUACGUG